GUUGAAGGACGCAAGCAGCUGCAACACUCUGCAGGACUUUCAAGCAGUCCAGAAGAAAGAAUUGGAAGCAGUGUAUACACCCUUCGUCCCUGAAGCCUUCGAGUUACACAAACCUUACUUCAGUCGAGAAGAUCGUACGUCAAACAGCUUGAUUGAUCCGCCUUCCAUAGCAACAGCAAAUACCAGGCCUUGUUGAUCA